rnacentral:rRNA from 1 species
UACGGAGGGGGCUAGCGUUGUUCGGAAUUACUGGGCGUAAAGCGCGCGUAGGCGGCUUUGUAAGUUAGAGGUGAAAGCCCGAAGCUCAACUUCGGAAUUGCCUUUAAGACUGCAUCGCUAGAAUUGUGGAGAGGUAAGUGGAAUUCCGAGUGUAGAGGUGAAAUUCGUAGAUAUUCGGAAGAACACCAGUGGCGAAGGCGACUUACUGGACACAUAUUGACGCUGAGGCGCGAAGGCGUGGGGAGCGAACGGG